AGGAGGUCGGCUCCCCUGAAAAACAUUAGUGGUAUCUGAGCAGAAGAAACUACUACAGGUGUGAUAAUUAUCUAUGCCUUUCAGUAUGCUGCAUAAAAACAGAUUGCACUGCUUCUAACUAGUGAAAACCUCUCUACAAAGGAGGGGCCACGUUUGACGAAUUUGACCUCAAAUCAGGUAGGACUACCCGCUGAACUUAA
rnacentral:misc_RNA from 1 species